CCGGACGCCCGGUUGCUAGGCAACUGCGCCCCCGCUCUCUGCCGGUCUCCGGGAGGGAGCCCUCUUCCUUCACCCCCGUGAGGACUGGUUGGGGGGUGGGGUUUACCUUCUGAGGACGCCGCCGAGGAGAGACGCGUUGAGGCAUUCGGGGGGCGAGAGCCGUCUCUGAACUUCCCCCACAGUUACUUUGUACUUUGAAGUUGAACUGAGCAGAGACAGACGGCCCGGGACGGAGCAAAACACCUCGCCGGUGUUGACGGACAUGCCUCCCAGGAAGCCAUCUUUAUUCAUCAUCAGAGAAGUCACAGAUUUGGGAGGAACCGGAACUAGAGAGAGAGAGAGAGAGAGAGAAACAUAUGCCAUAAAGGUGACCGGGUUUCGAUCCUGGUGACCGGCUGAUAGAACGUGCCGGUGCGCGCGCAGGGGCGAGGCCACAGGACGGGCGCCAAGUGGAAAGCUGGAGGAGGAAGUGUUUGCUCCAGUGGGGCUGCCGUGCGUUCAGAGCACCGUGUGCGCACACAUGGAAAAGUCACCACUCCUCUGGAAACUUACCCCGUGUCGCUCGCCACAGCCCCGCUCACUCUACAAAUCAAGAAAACACGCGGCCCAGAGCCUGGAUGGUGCUGUGAAACCCGGCCACUCCUAGUCCAUCAGUGUGCUAGCUUGUGACCUGAGACAUCUCCGUGAGCCUCUCGGAAUCUUUUAAGAUUCCUCAUCCGUCUCCCGAGGAUAAUCACGUUUGGUGCUGAAUCCUGAAAGCGUUUACACUAUCAAUGAUAUAAAAGGGUAGUAUCAGUGUUCUUUAUGGGAACCCCUCCCUCCUUUCCUAUUGGAUCGAAAUCUGUGGUCAUCACUGGAGAGCCCUGGAGAGCCCUGGACAGUGGGCGCUAUCGGACACCGGGCUCAAGAACAGCCAAGUGAUACCAGGAACCUUGGGCUCAGACGAGCUGCUCAUUUCUCAAGAGUGGAUCUCAUUCUUUCCUACAUCAUAACACAUUCUUUUAGAAAUGAACCCAAAUGCUCCUCUCCAGUGAAAGCAAUUCCACAGAGACAUGAAUUUUGUUUACAAAUUAACUAAAGCACCGGCUGGUGAUUAUUUGGAGCAGUUAUGAUUUACAACAGGUGCCCUGAUCAAUCAACCAAUCACUCUAAUUCAUGUGAGCGGAGGUCUUGCCUUGCCCCAGUUGUUUCAUUUCGGCAAGUAAUUGAUAACAAACCGCACUCAAGUAUCAUCUGCACCUCAGGAGGAGGCGGGGCUCAGUAGAACCAGAAGGCUGGGAAGGAAGAACAAUGAAUGGUCAACCUCCCAAUUCGCUGGCAGGCUUACUCCCUUGGAGUUCUACAUUGUUGAAGCCCAUUUUCUUCAGGUUCUAGAAGCCACAGGGCAGGUGACUUCCUGACUUGCCUUACACCUUAGCUUCUUGCAAUGAUUCUGGCAUUCAGACAUCCAUGAUUGCUUAGAGACUGCCGAAAGCCGAAAUUCAUAUUCAAGAACUAUAAGCAAAUAAUUUAUGAUCGUGGGAAUUAGCAUCAGAUAGUCUUGGAGAAACUUUUUCCCAAAAUAUACAUGAUGGCCUUUUGUAAUUUUAACAUGCUUAUCAAUAAACCCAGAGAGCAACAGGGCCCGGUUGAUUUGUUAGUAAUUAUGAGCACACUGUUCCUGCUCAUGGAACCCAGAGAUGACUAAGAUAGGUUUAAAGCGACAGCAGGAAAUGGUCGGGGCGGUGGCCCUCCGCGUGUAUGUCUGGGUCACCCAACAUACCCCCCAUACCAACCACUCCGCCAGGUGAGUACCCCUCGCUUUGAGGCCCAUCGGCCCAGCAGCGCCCUGGUCCGGGGCUGGGUGGAGGAAGGAGGGAGCCUGAACACACACUAGGUUCCUAAGAUCGAACAACUGACUGAGGUCCAGGUGGAGACACGCUCUGGUCCCCUUUUAAAGACUGGUCGGGCGCAGCCAACCCAAUCCGUAGCUGCAAAGGAACGGUGAGAUCCCCUCUGGCUCGUGUCACUUCAGCUGCCCCCACCCCAACCCCUCGGCGCUCCAGAUCCCUAAUUCGGAAGUGGAUCCUCCGGGAUGCAGCAGAUGAGGCACAGCCUCUGCAUUCGUGGGUCUGGUCCUAGGUACACCUCUUCCCCUGCCUUUCUUUGUCACCUGCCCCUUGUCAAGCACACCCAGGCCUCGGGAGGCCUGUCAACGCCGCGGGGGCAGAGAUCUUCCCCGCUGCCCGGGACUGGCGCAGGAUAGCAGCCCCCCUCCUCGACCCCCUGCACUGAGGGUCGUCCAGAGAAAGCCCCGCGAGCAGCCCCACCUCGCCAGACGGGCUGCUGCGAAGCUGCUGGGGGAGGAACCAGGCAGAGGUGCGUGGGCGGGGAGCCUGCGUGGGCCGGGGCCUGCACCUUCUCUCCUCUGGGCUCUUUGCACCUCGCGGUCCGUGUUCCGACGCAAGAACUCAGCCUGUGGCACGACGCUUUGAAGAGGGUGUCCUCCCCAAUACACACUGAACUGGUCCUGUUCUCUCCUCUACCUUUGGCUAAACGCCCAAAACCCCUUACAAUUAUACCUUAAAAAAAACAACAACAAAAAAAAACAAAAACAAAACAAAAAAAAAAAAACCAAAACAAAACUAAAACUAAACUAAACUGAAACCAAAGAAAUCUAUUCCCUCUUUUGAGAGAACUCCUGGGUUCAGUUGACUGAGUCACCCGGCCUGCAGGGUGAUGGUGAUGCGGCCAGUGUGUUAGCAUUGCCAACAGCAGUGGUGAUGGGUUGAUCCACUUUCAUUAUCUAGCACUUUGAGCCCUACUCAGAAAGGUUAAUUUAAGAACUUAGCUCCCCCCCAACACACAUAUUACCCCAAUACAUUUUUUUGAAGCUAUUAAAUAUUUCCUUCUUGUAUGGUAUUCCGAAACGAGCAAUUUCUCCAGAUAGAAUACUCAAGCUUGAUUAAAUCAACAACACUACCAUUCUUAUUACUAUGGGUAAAUCCAGCCACAAAUCAGGUGAUUCCAUCAUUCUUGGAAAUAAUAAAUAACAGAAUCUCCUCUAAAGCAAUAAACCAUCAUAGACUACACACAGGCAGCAUUUGGUGCUGUCACCACAUUUUAACCGUUCAAAAUACAUUUUUUUUUUCCAAGUAAGGUAAAGAAGGACUCAAGUACUCUUCUUUUCUUCCCCAUUUCAUUUUUCUUUGCUUUGGAGGUAUGGCUGAAAUGAUGCGUAAUAUAUACAACUAUGCCAAUGAGACAGAAGUGUCAAACACCUUUCAACCAUAUUUAUCUUUUCUGCAGACUAUUUAAAUUAGGGAGCAAAAGGAAACCUGCUCAGAAUCACCCAGACAGUUUUUAGAAAUCAUUUCUUUGAUGUUUCUUUGUUUAGUUUAACCAAGUAUUCUCAACCAAAUCAGUCUCCAUUGUGUAGGUUGCAGAUGGGUUAGGGAGUGGGUGGGUGGGGGGAGUGUUUUGAGCCUUUUGUUUUAAGAAACAAACACGUGAUGCCUCUUUAACUGGGAUAGUGGCUUUGGGGAGAGGAGAGUAUUAAAGGAGGGGGAGGAUUGAAGAGGGAUGUGGAGAAUAUUGCUCCCCAGUCAUUUAAUGGAUCAAAAGGUGAAAACAUUCUCCAAAAUGGUCUGUCUCCUCUCGGACUCCCAAGCGGAUUAUGGCUUUCUGGGUCUCUCCCCACAUUUAUUCCAUUUCUUGGGAAGAUGACUCUGGAAAUCACUUAUCUUGAAAAAGGGCUCAGCAGCUUAUGAGUCAUUCAAAGUGGGUCCUGGUUUGGACAAUCACAGCACAUGUUUUUCUUCCCAUGUGCACCGUCACGCUUAAAUUCCAGCAGGAACUUCUGGAGUGCAAGAGGACCCUAUCCCUCCAUGCUGAAGCUCCAGGCUCUAGGCAGCCCAGUCUUUCACCUGCCUUGUCUGGGGGCCAGGCCCACUAUGGGACGUCCAUGGAGAGUGAGUUGCGAAGGGUACCCAGCUUGCUAGCACAAAGUACAAGAGAAUAGGAAGUAGCUAGGGCAAGACAAAAAACAUCUAGCCUUAAUUCUGAUGAUGCUAAACUAUCAACAUACACACAUAGGUUUUUCUCCUUUAUGAUUUCUAGUGGUUCCAGCUUUCAUAAUUGGGCCUCCAGAAAUCGAAUUGCCACUACAGAGCCAUACAUGUAUUAACAGUUAUAUUGUGGUGUCCAGCUAUUCCUGUUCUAAAGAUGAAAACUACCUCCCCCAAAGGAUACAGAGCUGCCCCUCCCCCAUCCCUCCUAUCUCCUGGGGCAUUCACUAUUUAUUUAUUUAUUGUCCUUUUCGUUUGUUUGUUUGUGGUUACCUGGACGUCUUCCAUUCCGGGAUGGCCGAGGCCGUGCAGCGAGAGGCUGUCACCCAUGCCCGCGUCCAGGCCGUGGUGCGCCGAAUGCAGCAGCACGUCUGGCCGGCGGACCGAGUGGUAGUCCCUCCGGGGGUCGAGGCCCGAGAGCUGGGGCAAGGCUGCCCGAGGCUGGGGCAGGAGAGAGCCGGCUUCCGAACCCACUUCUUGCCGCUGCCGUUGCCCCCAGGGAUGCUGCUGGGGCUGGUGCAGUGGGUUCAGAGAGUAGGGGUCGUUGACGUGGGAGUAGGGAUCCUGGCUCUGAUGGUAGGGGAGCGGCUGGUAGGGAGGCGGGAAGUAGGGCGGCUGGAAGUCUGACGACGGGGUGUGGGACAGCGGCGGGGCGCUGGAGUAAGGUCCUUGGGAUACCGAGCCCAGCUGCGAGAGCCUGGAGCUGUGGCUCGGGACGCCAUCGUGCCGGUCCUGGGAGCGGAGAGAAGGAGAGAGAGAAACAGAGUGACAGAGAGAGACAGAGGGAGGGAGGGAGGGAGAGAGAGAGAGAGAGAGAGAGAGAGAGAGGAAGAAAAAAAAAAUACAAGCGACUAAUGGAGAAGCUCGGCUUCGUAUAUUCUUCCCAGGACAGGGAAGCAAGAGUCUGAAACUUAUAACUCCCAAGUUGACUCAGAGGGCACAUGAUUUCAGCAAUUCCAAACUCCAGGCUUUGGGGGAAAAAAUGGGGGAGAAUCACCACCCACUUACCCGACAUCUGAGCCCUAUGUUCGGAGUGCAAAGUGGGCCUGAGGGGUGAGGGUACAGUAACUAUAGGUAAGGGCAGCAAUUCUAAAUUCCUUAGUUAAAAAUAUAGGAGGCUUACACAGAGUAUUUCCUCUUCUGGGGGUUUUCAACUAUUCUUCCUGACUCUUCCAGAGGUCCAAAGCAUAACAAAUAAAACUUCAUACUAUUUGCUGUGCGGCUACUCCUGUUCAAAACCAACUUCUGCCUCCCCUGGCAACCCAGCCAGCUGACCAAGAGCUCCCCGCGCAAACCUGAGAAUUCCGGGAGCCCUGAGGAAUUUGCCUGCUCGGAGUUCCCAGUCACCCCUCCCUCCCCAAGAGGAAUUAAAUAAUUUAAAUAGUGUU